rnacentral:rRNA from 1 species
ACGGCGAGUGAAGCGGUAACAGCUCAAAUUUGAAAUCUGGCGCUUUCAGCGUCCGAGUUGUAAUUUGUAGAAGAUGCUUUGGGUGUGACUCCGGUCUAAGUUCCUUGGAACAGGACGUCAUAGAGGGUGAGAAUCCCGUAUGUGACUGGCUGCCUUCGCCCGUGUAAAGCUCUUUCGACGAGUCGAGUUGUUUGGGAAUGCAGCUCUAAAUGGGAGGUAUAUUUCUUCUAAAGCUAAAUAUUGGCCAGAGACCGAUAGCGCACAAGUAGAGUGAUCGAAAGAUGAAAAGCACUUUGGAAAGAGAGUUAAACAGUACGUGAAAUUGUUGAAAGGGAAGCGCUUGCAACCAGACUUGCCUGCGGUCGAUCAUCCUGGGUUCUCCCUGGUGCACUCGAUCGUGGUCAGGCCAGCAUCGGUUUCGGUGGUGGGAUAAAGGCCUUGGGAAUGUAGCAGUCUUCGGGCUGUGUUAUAGCCCUCGGUGCAAUGCCGCCUACCGGGACCGAGGACCGCGCUUCGGCUAGGAUGCUGGCGUAAUGGUUGUAAGCGACCCGUCUUGAAACACGGACCAAGGAGUCUAACAUCUAUGCGAGUGUUUGGGUGUUAAACCCAUACGCGUAAUUAACGUGAACGGAGGUGAGAACCCUUAAGGGUGCAUCAUCGACCGAUCCUGAUGUCUUCGGAUGGAUUUGAGUAAGAGCAUAGCUGUUGGGACCCGAAAGAUGGUGAACUAUGCCUAAAUAGGGUGAAGCCAGAGGAAACUCUGGUGGAGGCUCGCAGCGGUUCUGACGUGCAAAUCGAUCGUCAAAUUUGGGUAUAGGGGCGAAAGACUAAUCGAACCAUUGAAGUACUAGGUGGGCAAGAGCCCCGCGUGUUCGCGGGGCUAGUCGGCGAUCUGCCGGCAACACUGUCAAAGUGCGGGGACCUCCUGUCGACGCAUCGCUACCGCAGCCCUACGCGAAAGCGGGGGUGCGCACCGGGUUAACGACCCUGGGGAUGGUAAGAACGCGAUGCCGAAGGACGACCUGCAGCCAAACCCUAUCCACGGGUGCCGUUCACAGACUAAAUGUCAGUGGGACCCCCGGGUCUUAAGUUAUAGUCGAUCCC